AGAGUUUGAUCCUGGCUCAGAACGAACGCUGGCGGCGUGCCUAACACAUGCAAGUCGAACGGGGAUAGAUAGCUUGCUAUUUAUUCUAGUGGCGCACGGGUGAGUAACGCGUAGAUAAUCUGCCUUGGACUCUGGGAUAACAUUUCGAAAGGGGUGCUAAUACCGGAUAAGCCCACGGGGACGUAAGUUCUUGCGGGAAAAGGGGGCCUCUGCAUAUGCUCUUGAUCCAAGAUGAGUCUGCGUACCAUUAGCUAGUUGGUAGGGUAAGAGCCUACCAAGGCGACGAUGGUUAGCUGGUCUGAGAGGAUGAUCAGCCACACUGGAACUGAGACACGGUCCAGACUCCUACGGGAGGCAGCAGUGGGGAAUUUUGCGCAAUGGGGGAAACCCUGACGCAGCAACGCCGCGUGAGUGAUGAAGGCUUUCGGGUCGUAAAGCUCUGUCUAGAGGGAAGAAAUGAUAUUGGGUUAAUACCCUGAUUUCUUGACGGUACCUCUGAAGGAAGCACCGGCUAACUCCGUGCCAGCAGCCGCGGUAAUACGGAGGGUGCAAGCGUUGUUCGGAAUUAUUGGGCGUAAAGCGCGUGUAGGCGGUUUGUUAAGUCUGAUGUGAAAGCCCCGGGCUCAACCUGGGAAGUGCGUUGGAAACUGUCAGACUUGAAUACGGGAGAGGGUAGUGGAAUUCCUAGUG
rnacentral:rRNA from 1 species